UUGGGUGCGGGGCCCGCAAGGGUUACCAAGCUCAGUCAAACUCCGAAUGCCAUUAACUUCUUGCCGGGAGUCAGACAGUGAGUGCUAAGAUCCAUUGUCAAAAGGGAAACAGCCCAGACCAUCAGCUAAGGUCCCCAAGUGUGUGUUAAGUGGGAAAGGAUGUGGAGUUGCACAGACAACCAGGAUGUUGGCUUAGAAGCAGCCACCAUUGAAAGAGUGCGUAAUAGCUCACUGGUCGAGUGACUCUGCGCCGAAAAUGUAACGGGGCUAAACACACCACCGAAGCUAUGGCUAGAUGCAUUGCAUCUGGGGUAGGGGAGCGUUGUAUAUACGUUGAAGGUGUACCGUAAGGAGCGCUGGAGAGUAUACAAGUGAGAAUGCCGGUAUGAGUAACGAAAAGAUCAGUGAGAAUCUGAUCCGCCGAAAGCCCAAGGUUUCCUGAGGAAGGCUCGUCCGCUCAGGGUAAGUCGGGACCUAAGGCGAGGCCGACAGGCGUAGUCGAAGGACAACAGUUUGAAAUUACUGUACCACUAAGGCUGGGCUGUGAUGGGGAGCGAAAAUUGUAGUAGCGAAGGUCAUGAUCUCACACUGCCAAGAAAAGCCUCUAGCCAGGAGAAGGUGCCCGUACCGCAAACCGACACAGGUAGGCGAGAAGAGAAUUCUAAGGCGCGCGGAAGAACUCUCGUUAAGGAACUCGGCAAAAUGACCCCGUAACUUCGGGAGAAGGGGUGCCUCGGUAGGGUGAAUAGCCCGAGGGGGCCGCAGUGAAAAGGCCCAAGCGACUGUUUAGCAAAAACACAGGUCUGUGCGAAGCCGCAAGGCGAAGUAUACGGGCUGACGCCUGCCCGGUGCUGGAAGGUUAAGGGGAGCGGUUAGGAGCAAUCCGAAGCUGUGAACCGAAGCCCCAGUAAACGGCGGCCGUAACUAUAACGGUCCUAAGGUAGCGAAAUUCCUUGUCAGGUAAAUUCUGACCCGCACGAAUGGCGUAACGACUUGGGCGCUGUCUCAACGAGAGAUCCGGUGAAAUUUUAAUACCUGUGAAGAUGCAGGUUACCCGCGACAAGACGGAAAGACCCCAUGGAGCUUUACUGCAGCUUGAUAUUGAAUUUGGGUACGAUCUGUACAGGAUAGGUGGGAGCCGUAGAAGUAGGAGCGCAAGCUUCUAUGGAGGCGCCGUUGGGAUACCACCCUGAUCGUAUCUAGGUUCUAACCUGGUACCCUAAACGGGUACGGGGACCGUGUCAGGCGGGCAGUUUGACUGGGGCGGUCGCCUCCUAAAGAGUAACGGAGGCGUUCAAAGGUUCCCUCAGAAUGGUUGGAAAUCAUUCGAAGAGUGCAAAGGCAUAAGGGAGCUUGACUGCGAGACCAACAAGUCGAGCAGGGACGAAAGUCGGACUUAGUGAUCCGGUGGUACCGCAUGGAAGACAGUUCGGUCCCUAUCUGUCGUGGGCGCAGGAAAUUUGAGAGGAGCUGUCCUUAGUACGAGAGGACCGGGAUGGACGUACCGCUGGUGCAUCAGUUGUUCCGCCAGGAGCAUGGCUGAGUAGCUACGUACGGACGGGAUAAGCGCUGAAAGCAUCUAAGCGUGAAGCCCCCCUCAAGAUGAGAUUUCCCAGUAUGUAAGACCCCUUGAAGACGACGAGGUAGAUAGGUUGGAGGUGGAAGCACGGCAACGUGUGGAGCUGACCAAUACUAAUCGGUCGAGGGCUUAUCCAAA
rnacentral:rRNA from 2 species